rnacentral:rRNA from 1 species
AACGUAGGACGCAAGCGUUAUCCGGAGUUACUGGGCGUAAAGGGCAGGCAGGCGGGCCGAUAAGUCGGAUGUGAAAUCUCCCUGGCUUAACCGGGAGAGUGCAUUUGAGACUGUCAACCUGGAGGGCAGCAGAGGAGCGUGGAAUUCCGGGUGGAGUGGUGAAAUGCGUAGAGAUCCGGAGGAACACCAGAGGCGAAAGCGGCGCUCUGGGCUGCACCUGACGCUGAACUGCGAAAGCCAGGGGAGCGAACGGG